rnacentral:tRNA from 1 species
GUGAGUACAGCUCAGUGGUAGAUCAUAUGCUUAGCAUGCAUGAGGUCCUGGGUUCAAUCCCCAGUACCUCCA